rnacentral:rRNA from 1 species
UACGUAGGGUGCAAGCGUUAAUCGGAAUUACUGGGCGUAAAGCGUGCGCAGGCGGUUAUGCAAGACAGAUGUGAAAUCCCCGGGCUCAACCUGGGAACUGCAUUUGUGACUGCAUGACUAGAGUACGGCAGAGGGGGAUGGAAUUCCGCGUGUAGCAGUGAAAUGCGUAGAUAUGCGGAGGAACACCGAUGGCGAAGGCAAUCCCCCUGGACCUGUACUGACGCUCAUGCACGAAAGCGUGGGGAGCAAACAGG